AUUGAACGCUGGCGGCAGGCUUAACACAUGCAAGUCGAGCGGAGCGAGGGUGCUUGCACCUUAGCUUAGCUGCGGACGGGUGAGUAAUGCUUAGGAAUCUGCCUAUUAGUGGGGGACAACAUUCCGAAAGGGAUGCUAAUACCGCAUACGCCCUACGGGGGAAAGCAGGGGAUCUUCGGACCUUGCGCUAAUAGAUGAGCCUAAGUCGGAUUAGCUAGUUGGUGGGGUAAAGGCCUACCAAGGCGACGAUCUGUAGCGGGUCUGAGAGGAUGAUCCGCCAACCUGGGAGUGUGCCAAGGCCCAGGCUCCACCGGGGGGUAGCAGUGGGGAGUAGUGGAGGAUGGGCGGAAGCCUGAGCCAGCCAUGCCGCGUGUGUGAAGAAGGCCGUUUGGUGGUAAAGCACUUUAAGCGAGGAGGAGGCUACUAGUAUUAAUACUACUGGAUAGUGGACGUUACUCGCAGAAGAAGCACCGGCUAACUCUGUGCCAGCCGCCGCAGUAA
rnacentral:rRNA from 1 species